UGCGUGACCAACCUGCCCCAUGCUCCAGAAUAGCUCUUGGAAACGGGUGGUAAUGCUGGAUGCUCCAACUUGACGCAUGUCUUGUUGGGAAAGUGUUUAGUGGCAUGGGAUGGGGUCGCGUCCUAUCAGCUUGUAGGCGGGGUAAUGGCCCACCUAGGCUUCGACGGGUAGCCGGCCUGAGAGGGCGGACGGCCACAUUGGGACUGAGAUACGGCCCAGACUCCUACGGGAGGCAGCAGCC
rnacentral:rRNA from 1 species